rnacentral:rRNA from 1 species
UGGGGAAUAUUGGACAAUGGGCGAAAGCCUGAUCCAGCCAUGCCGCGUGAGUGACGAAGGCCUUAGGGUUGUAAAACUCUUUCGUCGGGGACGAUAAUGACGGUACCCGAAGAAGAAGCUCCGGCUAACUUCGUGCCAGCAGCCGCGGUAAUACGAAGGGAGCUAGCGUUGUUCGGAAUCACUGGGCGUAAAGCGCACGUAGGCGGAUAGUUUAGUCAGAGGUGAAAGCCCAGGGCUCAACCUUGGAAUUGCCUUUGAUACUGGCUAUCUUGAGUUUGGGAGAGGUGAGUGGAACUCCGAGUGUAGAGGUGAAAUUCGUAGAUAUUCGGAAGAACACCAGUGGCGAAGGCGACUCACUGGCCCAAUACUGACGCUGAGGCUCGAAAGCGUGGGGAGCAAACAGGAUUAGAUACCCGGGUAGUCCCUGAGCGGGCUGGCAAGGCG